AACGAACGCUGGCGGCAGGCCUAACACAUGCAAGUCGAGCGAAGCCUUCGGGCUUAGCGGCGGACGGGUGAGUAACGAGUGGGAACGUGCCCUCUGGUACGGAAUAGCCCCGGGAAACUGGGAGUAAUACCGUACGUGCCCUUCGGGGGAAAGAUUUAUCGCCAAAGGAUCGGCCCGCGUUGGAUUAGGUAGUUGGUGGGGUAAUGGCCUACCAAGCCGACGAUCCAUAGCUGGUUUGAGAGGAUGAUCAGCCACACUGGGACUGAGACACGGCCCAGACUCCUACGGGAGGCAGCAGUGGGGAAUCUUAGACAAUGGGGGAAACCCUGAUCUGGCCAUGCCGCGUGAUCGAUGAAGGCCUUAGGGUUGUAAAGAUCUUUCAGUGGGGAAGAUAAUGACUGUACCCACAGAAGAAGCCCCGGCUAACUCCGUGCCAGCCGCCGCAGUAAUAC
rnacentral:rRNA from 1 species